rnacentral:rRNA from 1 species
CCUACGGGAGGCAGCAGUGAGGAAUAUUGGUCAAUGGGCGCGAGCCUGAACCAGCCAAGUAGCGUGAAGGAUGACUGCCCUCCGGUUUGUAAACUUCUUUUAUAAAGGAAUAAAGUGAGGCACGUGUGCCUUUUUGUAUUUACUUUAUGAAUAAGGAUCGGCUAACUCCGUUCCAGCCGCCGCGGUAAUACGGAGGAUCCGAGCGUUAUCCGGAUUUAUUGGGUUUAAAGGGAGCGUAGAUGGGUGGUUAAGUCAGGUGUGAAAGUUUGCGGCUCAACCGUAAAAUUGCAUUUGAUACUGGCAGUCUUGAGUACAGUUGAGGUGGGCGGAAUUCGUGGUGUAGCGGUGAAAUGCGUAGAUAUAACGAAGAACUCCGAUUGCGAAGGCAGCUUACUAAACUGCAACUGACAUUGAUGCUCGAAAGUGUGGGUAGCAAACAGGAUUAGAUACCCCAGUAGUC